AGGAAAUAAACAAGAUUUUCAGGCUUUAUGUCUACUUAGAGAUAGCCUUGUCUCACCUCCUGCCAGCUAUAAAUGGUGUUUAGGAGUAAAUGUAAAAUCUGUGGAAUAACGGUAUCUAAAAUAUGCAAAAGCUUUCUAAUAGUUAACCUGAUGGCAGUCACAGCCUAUGUAGACAGCUAGUAGUAGCAGCAAAUGGUACCACUAAUCCUGUUGUCAUAGUGUUUCAGGAUUGUAAUGUUUAGUUUCCUGCUUGGAAGUUCUGCCAUCGUGACCCUCUACUGGUUUUAUGACCUUGGGGAAGAGGGACUGAGGAAGGAGCAUCUCUUUUAUUACAUCCUAUGACUUUUCAACUUGGUCCUCUUGUUAUGGUCUACUCUAGAGGAAAAGUCCUCAACCUGUUACCUCAACUUGCUUUGCCUGUUUUGUUAUAGGGGUAGGAAUCAAUAUGCCCAAUGAAAGGAGAAGGCUGCUGUCCCCUGAGUCUUUACAGAUAAAAUGUGUUGGAGGUUUGGAUGGACAGAUAGAGAGCUUAGUAUGCUGCCUGGUUUGUAGAUUAAAUGUUCAGUGGGUGCUAGUGGUGAUUAGUACAAUAUGCAAGUGUUUGGACUGGGAACAGAGUUGGAAACUGUUUCAGGAGGGUAGAGAGUAUCAUUCUUUAUUUUUUCUGCUGUGAUCUCAUAAUAGAAGUCCCUUAUGAAGUAGGUGAUAUUCUUGACAGAUGAGAAGACAGGUUCUAAAAGCUCAAGGAUGUGCUCAAGUUACCCAGGAUGGAGUGAUGCUGAAUUUAGACUGAGUAUGUUUUACUCAAAGGCCAUGCCUUGGCAUAGUGGACAGGGUGUGUGGCUCAUUGCAGUUAUUAAAUGAAUGAAAGAGGGAGUUUUCAGUAACAUUUCCUGUGUCCUCUAGCUAGGCUCUACAUGAUUGAAAGAAUGGAUAGUUUUAUUUUGUUUUUAAGUUUGAGUGCAAGUAGCUCUUUGGACAUGAAGAGCUUGCUUAUUGGAAUAUCUUAUUUCCCUAAACAUAGCAUAAUUACUCACUAAGACUGAGUCUAUAGGCGUUUUUGUUUUUUUUAAAACUUUCCAGGUAAUGCUGAAACCGCCAGGUUAAGGUAUUUAGCUAGGAAACUCUGAUUUCCUGGAGUUUGGUCAGAUUCAAACUUAGUUGACUACCUUAAAAAAGAAAUCAGGAAAUUGAGGGAAAAAUGUCUUAUCAGAUCUUGAGGUGCUACAUUUAUAAAUCUUGAUUAACACUGAAGUUUCCUGUAUUCUAACCUUGUAAAGGAAUUAAGACUUUGAUUCAGGGGCCAGGAAAAUUAAUUCAAAAAAGCAAAAAGGAAAUUCAGAAAUGCUCUUCACUGUCCGAGUGAGUGCCAUAAAUGGAAGUGACCCAAUAAACUCAACCAGCAGCACUAAGCCCUUUAAAUGUGCAAAGUUCUAACAUAGCCAGGAGACGUCAAGCACCAGCCCUUUUUUCAAACACAGUCUUGUUAAGACCCUGUUGUGAAAAGGCUCUAUAUGGCUGUACUAUUGUUUAGCUAAAGUACACAAGGCAAAUGUGAGAACUAUAAAGAACAUGGAAAUCCAGAUGGAAGCAAGGAAAUGGUUAUUCAAAGUCAAACACUUCAUAUUUCAGCUCUAUAUGUAAGCAGCUGGAAAAUGGUUACCCUUGUUCUUAAAACAAAAAAUAGCUUGGCAGGGGGUGUAGUUCAGUGGUAGAGUGCUUGCCUGGUAUGUGCAAGACCCUGGGUUGGGUUCAAGCCCCAGCACUAAGAAAAAAGAAAAAGUUGGACAGACAAAAAUCAAUAACUUUUUUUGGAUCCAUCAAAUUUUAGACCAUUCUCCAAAAUGGGGAGUGACAAGCUCAUCUGAGAGAAGAAAACUCACAUUGGCUUACUGGCAAUAGAAGUCACUAGAGCCAUAACCUGUUUAGAAACACUUUUCAUGGUAAUGAUUUGAUGGAGGCUAAGUGUGGACUAAUGUAACUUUAAGAAAUCCCUGGAGAUUGUAUUUUUAGAGUGGCCCCUACAGUAGUAAACUUCACUUCUAGGAACCCUAUCAAAGUUUCACGUCUAGAGGUAUCUUUUGUGACUCUGGCAAGGAGGAUAAAUUAGUUCAACCUCCAUGGAGCAGAGGUGAGGGGCAAUUUGCAAUAAUUAUCAAAACUAUAGCUGAGGGUUGGGGUUGUAGCUCAGUGGGAGAGCACUUGUCUAGCACCUGUGAAACACUGGGUUCAGACCUCAGCACCACAUAAUCAUUGUGAAACAACACCCAGAACCCCCUUUACAGAGGUCUACUCUCUAGGGUAAAACAUAGCCAGAGCCUUAUCCCUGUUAGGAAAAGGGCAAUCCCACUCCAGCUUUACACUAGUCUUCCUUCCUGUCUGACCUAAGGGAAAAAAUAGUCAGCAGGGAUCAGGACUUCAAGGAAAUAGAUCGGAAAUGCUGCAGCCAGGGAUGGGAGGAUAGAAAAGCUGUACCACUGGAGGAAUAAUUGGAUAGAUCAUAGACCCACUGAAAUACAGAUUUAAUCUGGAGUUUAUGGAAUACCUCCCUCCACUGCC
rnacentral:lncRNA from 1 species